rnacentral:tRNA from 1 species
UAAUAAGAAGCAAAAAUUGCAUUUAGUUUCGACCUAAAAUUUUGAUGAAUGUUCUUCAUCCUUAUUUU